AAAACUGACUUAGAUGUAUAUACACACAUCUAAGACGGUUUUUAUUCAAAACCGACUUAGAUAUGCACAUAUACAUCUAAGUCAGUUUUUGCUUAG
rnacentral:miRNA from 1 species